CCAAUAGCGUAUAUUAAAGUUGUUGCAGUUAAAAAGCUCGUAGUUGAAUUUCGGGAUCGGAUUGUUGGUCGUGCUUCGGUACGUACUGGCAUUAUUGGUUCCUACCUUCUGAAGAACCGCGAUGUCAUUAAUUUGGUGUCGUGGGGAAUCAGGACUGUUACUUUGAAAAAAUUAGAGUGUUUAAAGCAGGCUUACGCUUGAAUACAUUAGCAUGGAAUAAUGAAAUAGGACGUUUGAUUCUAUUUUGUUGGUUUCUAGGAUCGACGUAAUGAUUAAUAGGGAUAGUUGGGGGCAUUAGUAUUCAAUUGUCAGAGGUGAAAUUCUUGGAUUUAUUGAAGACUAACUACUGCGAAAGCAUUUGCCAAGGAUGUUUUCAUUAAUCAAGAACGAAAGUUAGGGGAUCGAAGACGAUCAGAUACCGUCGUAGUCUUAACCAUAAACUAUGCCGACUAGGGAUCGGAUGAUGUUAAUUUUUUAAUGACUCAUUCGGCGCCUUACG
rnacentral:rRNA from 1 species